rnacentral:lncRNA from 1 species
UUGGAAAUUAUGUGACAAAUGUUUUUGAAAAUCAGUAGCUUACUCAUAUCCGAAUGCAUGUAAGAGUUCAUCUUAUUUUCGGUUUGAAUACUAAAAAUAGGAUUUUCCUGUACACUCUUAUGAAAACUUUUUGAAAAAUGAGUUUCCUCCUUCAAGCAACGAACUAUAACAUAACAAGGAGAAGAGAUAUUCAAAGCAUUAUAUGUGUCAUGCCUUCCUUUAUGUGCUUGAUAACCUGCUGGAAUCACAUCUACCAUGC